rnacentral:misc_RNA from 1 species
CCAGUGACGGGACACUUAGGCCCACUUGCCCUCUUCUUGGUGGUCUGAUACACCAAUUUCCCGCCAGGGGUCUUGACGAUGCGGUGCUGAUUAGAUUUGGUGGCGUAACUAUGCCUUCCCCGGUAAGUGAGUCGCUGAACCAUUUUUCACCUUUUCGGAGCUCUUCCACAGCCUCUCGUUUGGGUAUUGGCAGUUUGGCACAAGAAAGAGGCCGAGACUAAAGAAAGUAUAUGAACGGUGUUCCGUGUAUGUGGAACCCUAGAUCUGAGGACUGUAAUUGAGAGGUGUUCCUGAUCUACGGUUAGGAUUACACUAAGUGUUUCUUCAGGCCAGGUUUCAGAAUUUGUAAAUUGGCCUCAACUUUUGCUAUAAUUCAAAAGUGCAUUUUU